rnacentral:rRNA from 1 species
UACGUAGGGGGCAAGCGUUGUCCGGAAUCAUUGGGCGUAAAGCGCGUGUAGGCGGUCCGGUAAGUCCGCUGUGAAAGUCCAGGGCUCAACCCUGGGAUGCCGGUGGAUACUGUCGGGCUAGAGUACGGAAGAGGCGAGUGGAAUUCCCGGUGUAGCGGUGAAAUGCGCAGAUAUCGGGAAGAACACCCGUGGCGAAGGCGGCUCUCUGGGACGGUACUGACGCUGAGACGCGAAAGCGUGGGGAGCGAACAGG